rnacentral:tRNA from 1 species
GGGGCAGUAGUUCAGUUGGGAGAACAUCCCGUUCGCAACGGGAAGGUCACGGGUUCAAAUCCCGUCUGCUCCA